ensembl:snRNA U1 U1 spliceosomal RNA
AUACUUACCUGGCAGAGGAGAUACCAUGGUUUUCCCAGGGCGAGGCUUAUCCAUUGCACUCCGGAUGUGCUGACCCCUGCGAUUUCCCCAAAUGCGGGAAACUCUAGUGCAUGAUUUGUGGUAGUAGGGGACUGUGUUCAUGCUUUCCCCUG